UACGUAGGGUGCAAGCGUUGUUCGGAAUUACUGGGCGUAAAGGGUUCGUAGGUGGCUUGCUAAGUCAGACGUGAAAUCCCUCAGCUUAACUGGGGAACUGCGUCUGAUACUGGCGAGCUUGAGUGCAGGAGAGGAACGCGGAAUUCCAGGUGUAGCGGUGAAAUGCGUAGAUAUCUGGAGGAACACCGGUGGCGAAGGCGGCGUUCUGGACUGCAACUGACACUGAUGAACGAAAGCCAGGGGAGCAAACGGG
rnacentral:rRNA from 1 species